CUCUCAAUAACUCUAAACAAUUUUGUUAGCCUUACAUUGUGUUCUCUCUUAUAAUAAAAUUCUCCUUUUAAAGUUCUUUCAAUAGUAACUCUCAUUUCAUUACUCUACUAAUCUUCUCAUUAUUACCAACAAUAAAAAGAGGUUGGGUUGGAGAGGACCUUAUGCCAAUUUGGCCUAUCAAACUAAAAGGGAUCUUUCUUUUUGGCAAUUAAAUGAAGAAUUUCAGUUACUAUCCUGAAUGUUGCUUAAAAUAGCAAACAUACAACACAGGAAAGCAGAAAUAGAGCAAGCUUCAAUUACUACUUUCUUUGAUCUUACAUUAUUAUCCUGAAUCCUUAUAGUGGCCCUUUUAGUUCAAUAUUACUUUGUUAACUUUUUUUAUUGAUGCUUUCCAAUGGGACUACAAGGGUAAGUUUUAUGAUGAAGAAAUGAUAAGACAUCAAGUGUGAUGUUGGCUGAAGCUGAAGAUGAUGUUUACCAGUGCCGGUCUGAUUUGAAAGAAAGUGACAAUUGCUCUUUCCUAACUACCACAUCAAAAGGUUCUUGUUUCCUUUCUUCGUCUCAUAAACAUGUUUGAGUACUGUUGGAUAGUGUCAAUAUAUAUGAUUAAUUAACAAUAAUUAAUUGUUUCCAGCAUAACUAUAAGUUUUAGAG
rnacentral:lncRNA from 1 species